CCGGUAGGCGAGGAAAGACGUUUAGGGGAGUAAACAAAGUUGAGGUGCUGAUAAGAAGGAAGUAUCCGCUAAAGUACGAUGCUAGUAGUGACAGGAAAACAUGAUAAAGAUAAUCUAGUUCAUAAUGAUCUAAUAUGAAUUUAAUCAAUUAUGAAUAUGAUAGGAAGGAAUAAUUUGAAAUAAAAAACCCGCAUAGUAAAGAACAUGACUACAUAUAUGCAUGACGAAAUGAUAAAAAGCUAUGAAACUUUAAUCUUAUAUAUACUUAACGGUAUAGAGAUAAUUGAAUUAAGAAGAAUCAUAUGGGAAAAAAUAUUUGAUGACUACGAAUUAGA
rnacentral:lncRNA from 1 species